rfam:Oryza punctata chromosome 11, whole genome shotgun sequence.
CCUAUAGAUGAAGAAGAUCUAGUUGCUUAUGUAUUGAAUGGAUUAGAUGAUGAUUUUGAACCUAUUGUAUCCGCUGUUGUGGCUCGGAAUGAAACGGUCACAAUGGCGGAGGUGUACUCUCAACUGCUUAACUUUGAGA